rnacentral:rRNA from 1 species
UACAGAGGUCUCAAGCGUUGUUCGGAUUCAUUGGGCGUAAAGGGUGCGUAGGCGGCGCGGUAAGUCGGGUGUGAAAUCUCGGAGCUUAACUCCGAAACUGCAUUCGAUACUGGCGUGCUUGAGGACUGGAGAGGAGACUGGAAUUCAUGGUGUAGCGGUGAAAUGCGUAGAUAUCGUAAGGAAGACCAGUGGCGAAGGCGGGUCUCUGGACAGUUCCUGACGCUGAGGCACGAAGGUCAGGGGAGCAAACGGG